UUUUGCUAUCCAACGUUAUACGGGUCGGGUUUCUGUUUUGAUGAAAAGUUGGCCCAGGAUCUAUUGAGCCAUGAAUCAUCCAUGAUCAUUUUGAGGCUUUUACUUUGUUCACCCAGCAUUUUGCUUGUGCACCCAUCAUAUUUUCGAAAUUCCAGAAAUACCCCUGCUUAUUUCUUCUUCCUCCUUUUGCCUUCUUCACUCAUUCAUUCUGUUGCAUUUGCUUUGUGCUCAUUCAUUCUGGUGAGAGGAGAGGUCCUUCGUUGUUGUGUCCACUUUGGUCGAGGUGCAAGUGUUACGGUGAUUCGUCAGCAAGUGAUGGUUGUGGUGGUGGUUGGUUUGGCUGUUAACAGCGAAGAUGGACGAAAAUCAGUGGAUGCAUGAUAUUGUAAUGUCAGAAGAAGUUAAUAUGAAUGAAAAAAGUGAAGAAAAUGAAGAGGAACCUGAUCUACAUCAAUACGUUGAUUGUUCUGAUGCCUUCAAUACUUCUUAGGUGUUUGUUACUGUCGCAACCUACCAUUCAACGGGAGGGCGAUGCAAGACUCGAGGGUGUGUCUUCCAAGAAGGAAAACACGUGAGAGUCGUCACCAAUGUUUAUUUGAGCAAAACAUUAAAAAAACCAAAGAGGGUCUGCGAAUUUGAAGAAUAAGGGUUCGGGAGUUAUUUACGUGUGGGGAAGGUAUUAGCAUCUCACGCGUCCGUCACAAGGGACGACAACCUUUAAUCGAGUGUGCAAAAUCAUGACUUCAAUAUUAUUUAUCUUCCCUUUUUAUGUUCCUUUAUUUUUUUGGGGUCGACAAAGGGUGUUGCCUUUGCUCUUACGUAUUCUCAAGUGUGAUGAGGAAUUCAGACCUACGUAGUUCUUUAAAAGCGAGAAAGUUGUGUGUCGAGUUGAUUUUAAACUUUUGAAAGGUUUGUUUUAACCAACAAGAAUGGAAGAGACCGUUAAGGCUUUGAACCUUGAACGAA